UAGGGAAUCUUCGGCAAUGGACGAAAGUCUGACCGAGCAACGCCGCGUGAGUGAAGAAGGCUUUCGGAUCGUAAAACUCUGUUGUUAGAGAAGAACAAGGACGUUAGUAACUGAACGUCCCCUGACGGUAUCUAACCAGAAAGCCACGGCUAACUACGUGCCAGCAGCCGCGGUAAUACGUAGGUGGCAAGCGUUGUCCGGAUUUAUUGGGCGUAAAGCGAGCGCAGGCGGUUUCUUAAGUCUGAUGUGAAAGCCCCCGGCUCAACCGGGGAGGGUCAUUGGAAACUGGGAGACUUGAGUGCAGAAGAGGAGAGUGGAAUUCCAUGUGUAGCGGUGAAAUGCGUAGAUAUAUGGAGGAACACCAGUAGCGGAGGCGGCUCUCUAGUCUGUAACUGACGCUGAGGCUCGAAAGCGUGGGGAGCAAACAGG
rnacentral:rRNA from 1 species